GAUGAACGCUGGCGGCGUGCCUAAUACAUGCAAGUCGAGCGAACAGACGAGGAGCUUGCUCCUCUGACGUUAGAGGCGGACGGGUGAGUAACACGUGGAUAACCUACCUAUAAGACUGGGAUAACUUCGGGAAACCGGAGCUAAUACCGGAUAAUAUAUUGAACCGCAUGGUUCAAUAGUGAAAGACGGUUUCGCUGUCACUUAUAGAUGGAUCCGCGCCGCAUUAGCUAGUUGGUAAGGUAACGGCUUACCAAGGCAACGAUGCGUAGCCGACCUGAGAGGGUGAUCGGCCACACUGGAACUGAGACACGGUCCAGACUCCUACGGGAGGCAGCAGUAGGGAAUCUUCCGCAAUGGGCGAAAGCUUGACGGAGCAACGCCGCGUGAGUGAUGAAGGUCUUCGGAUCGUAAAACUCUGUUAUUAGGGAAGAACAAAUGUGUAAGUAACUAUGCACGUCUUGACGGUACCUAAUCAGAAAGCCACGGCUAACUACGUG
rnacentral:rRNA from 1 species